rnacentral:tRNA from 1 species
GGAGAGGUGACAGAGUGGCCGAUUGUGGCGGUCUCGAAAACCGUUGGACGUUCCCGCGUCCCGUGGGUUCAACUCCCCCCCUCUCCGCCA